rnacentral:lncRNA from 1 species
GUUCUUGUCGGGGACAAACAAGGAGGUGAUGGUGGCACCAUAAUUUGAGAUCUUGACAUGCAUUGAUCCAUUGUUGAGCUCGAAGAUCUCAGGAGUGUUGUUCUUGCUCUGAUCUGCCAUUACCGAUAGUUUCAAAGGUCAAAUUAGGGUUGAGGAUUAGAAGGAGGAGAUGCCAAGUGAUUAGGUUCUGUUGAUAUGCAAAGAGAGAAACGAGGUAUAAAACUGCAUUCCGGGAGCAUUGGUCCACAAGUCAAGUAUCCUCGAGCUCGCACCGUCUCUUAGCUUCACUGCGUGUUUCAGCCCGUCCUUCUCUUGAUCAGUACAGUCCAACACGUAGUUGUGGUCGUAUCCUAAACCCACCUCUUCAAUAGACUCGCCAAUUCGUUUCUCCUCGGUGAAAUCGAACGGAGUUCCCUUUACCGGCAAGAUCUCCCCUGUAGGAACUGUGAACUGAUCCACAGGAGUGACAUGAGACCCCCAAAUCUGGAUCCUAUGGUCAAGAAUGUUUCCUGAGUCGUGACCCGCUAAGUUCCAGUAUGUAUGCUGAGCUAAGCUGAUGGGAGUGUCUUUGUUCUCCGGAACUGCCUCCAUGUCAAGUCUCAUGGUCGUGGCUGACGUGAGAGUGUAUGUCGCCAUGACGGCAGCCGCACCGGGGUAACCUGUGAAAGGGGUCAAUACACAUUGAUUAUAUAUUUAGCUUAUGGAAUCGCAUAUAUAUAACAAUGAGAUGUAACCUUCUUCUCCAUCGGCGCUGUGAUAUUUGAAAAUGAUGAAAGGUUUAUCACCGUCUUUCUUGUGUCCAGCAACGUCCCAUAUCUUCUUAUCGAAACCUUUGUUACCACCUGCAUAUAGAGAGAGAGUAGCAUUUAUGUUGCACACAUCUGAUUAACUUUGAGAAAAUGCUAUUGAAGCAUACAGAAGAAGAGAGAAUGGUUUCUAUACCGUGGAGGCUGUUGGGAGGCUUGUUGAUGGGAAGAGUGUAGUCGACUCCAUUGAGACUAAACUUGCCCUCUUUGAUCCGAUUUGCUACACGGCCAACUAUGCAACCAAAGUAGGGUGCAAGCCCUUUCUGUAACAAUCAUAUAAUACAUAUUACAGUUAAGAUUCAUAUAAAAGUAUAUAACACAUUACCAUUGUCACAGCAUCCAGAUAUUUUUAUCAUAAACAAAAAUAUUCACUACAAAACCUGAACAUAUAUAUAUAUAUUUCUUAACAAAAUGAUUCAGACACUAUGCAUGCUAAGAAUUCCAGACACAUCUGUUGUUGUUCCUUUCUUCUUCUUCUUCUUCUUUUUUGUAACACUUCCUUAUAAAUACUUUAUUCACAAAUUCAGACAACAGAAAUCACAUGGGUGGAGUUUGAAACCAGAUACAUCCAAAGCCAUUAAUAAGACCUCCUUUAAAAAAAAAAGUUAGGUAAAUUUACCGCGUACGGAUCCACGGAGUCGAAUCCGAGAACUACAUCAGCCGAUUUCCCUUUUCAAUUGUUCAAAAAAUCAAACUCGACCAUCAGAUGAUUAAUUCGGAUGUGGAGAAAAGGAAAACAUAUAAAACGGAUGAAUAUAGAGACGAUCGAGAACGAACCGUUCUUGUCGGGGACAAACAAGGAGGUGAUGGUGGCACCAUAAUUUGAGAUCUUGACAUGCAUUGAUCCAUUGUUGAGCUCGAAGAUCUCAGGAGUGUUGUUCUUGCUCUGAUCUGCCAUUACCGAUAGUUUCAAAGGUCAAAUUAGGGUUGAGGAUUAGAAGGAGGAGAUGCCAAGUGAUUAGGUUCUGUUGAUAUGCAAAGAGAGAAACGAGGGGGAAGUG